rnacentral:rRNA from 1 species
AGAGUUUGAUUAUGGCUCAGGACAAACGCUGGCGGCGUGCGUAACACAUGCAAGUCGAACGCCCUUCACGCGAGUGGAGGGAGUGGCGGACGGGUGAGGAAUUCAUGGGUAUCUACCUUCGGGUGGGGGAUACCGGCGAGAAAUCGCCGACAAUCCAGCAUAGGGUCACGGAGACGUGAGCAAAGCCGAGAGGCGCCGGGAGAUGAGCCUGUGGCCGAUUAGCUAGCUGGUGGGGUAAGGGCUCACCAGGGCGACGAUCGGUAGCUGGUCUGAGAGGAUGAUCAGCCACACUGGGAUUGAGAACGGCCCAGACUCCUACGGGGGGCAGCAGUGAGGAAUCUUCCGCAAUGGACGCAAGUCUGACGGAGCAACGCCGCGUGCAGGAGGACGCUUUUCGGAGUGUAAACUGCUUUUCUGCCGGACGAGUACGGACGGUACGGCAGGAAGAAGCCCCGGCUAACUACGUGCCAGCAGCCGCGGUAAGACGUAGGGGGCGAGCGUUGUCCGGAGUUACUGGGCGUAAAGGGCGCGUAGGCGGUGUCUGGCGUAGCGGCGGACAGCCGGGGGCUUAACCUCCGGAGCGGUCGCUAAACGGGGAGACUGGAGGGCUCCAGAGGAACUGGGUAGUCCGGGUGGAGCGGUGAAAUGCGUAGAGACCCGGAGGAACACCAAAGGCGAAGGGCAGGUUCUGGGGGAGUCACUGACGCUGAGGCGCGAAAGCC